CCAAAUGUCCUUUGACAAGCUUUGUGCCGGACGAAAGUCUGGCCAGAGUUCAAACCUUUUGUGAAUCACAAAAAACCUUUUGCUUCGGCAGCUGGCGUGGCCCGGUGCAAACCUGACCCGCUGUCAGCCUGCCGACGGCACCCUUAAACUUGAUUUUACAAAUCUUGUCUGAAACCAUUCUGUAUCUGAAUGAAAAUUA
rnacentral:misc_RNA from 1 species